GAUGAACGCUGGCGGCGUGCUUAACACAUGCAAGUCGAACGAAGCACUUAAGAUUGAUUCUUCGGAUGACGUCUUUUGUGACUUAGUGGCGGACGGGUGAGUAACGCGUGGGUAACCUGCCUCACACAGGGGGAUAACAGUUAGAAAUGACUGCUAAUACCGCAUAACCCGAUAGGAUCGCAUGAUCCAGACGGAAAAGAUUUAUCGGUGUGAGAUGGACCCGCGUCUGAUUAGCUAGUUGGUGAGGUAACGGCCCACCAAGGCGACGAUCAGUAGCCGGCCUGAGAGGGUGACCGGCCACAUUGGGACUGAGACACAGCCCAAACUCCUACGGGAGGCAGCAGUGGGGAAUAUUGCACAAGGGGGGAAACCCUGAUGCAGCGACGCGGCGUGAGUGAAGAAGUAUUUCGGUAUGUAAAGCUCUAUCAGCAGAGAAGAAAAUGACGGUACCUGACUAAGAAGCCCCGGCUAACUACGUG
rnacentral:rRNA from 1 species